GACGAACGCUGGCGGCGUGCUUAACACAUGCAAGUCGAACGAUGAUGCCCAGCUUGCUGGGCGGAUUAGUGGCGAACGGGUGAGUAAUACGUGAGUAACCUGCCCUUGACUCUGGGAUAAGCCUGGGAAACUGGGUCUAAUACUGGAUACUACCUCUUACCGCAUGGUGGGUGGUGGAAAGGGUUUUACUGGUUUUGGAUGGGCUCACGGCCUAUCAGCUUGUUGGUGGGGUAAUGGCUCACCAAGGCGACGACGGGUAGCCGGCCUGAGAGGGUGACCGGCCACACUGGGACUGAGACACGGCCCAGACUCCUACGGGAGGCAGCAGUGGGGAAUAUUGCACAAUGGGCGGAAGCCUGAUGCAGCGACGCCGCGUGAGGGAUGACGGCCUUCGGGUUGUAAACCUCUUUCAGUAGGGAAGAAGCGAGAGUGACGGUACCUGCAGAAGAAGCGCCGGCUAACUACGUGCCAGCAGCCGCGGUAAUACGUAGGGCGCAAGCGUUGUCCGGAAUUAUUGGGCGUAAAGAGCUCGUAGGCGGUUUGUCGCGUCUGCUGUGAAAGCCCGGGGCUCAACCCCGGGUCUGCAGUGGGUACGGGCAGACUAGAGUGCAGUAGGGGAGACUGGAAUUCCUGGUGUAGCGGUGAAAUGCGCAGAUAUCAGGAGGAACACCGAUGGCGAAGGCAGGUCUCUGGGCUGUUACUGACGCUGAGGAGCGAAAGCAUGGGGAGCGAACAGGAUUAGAUACCCUGGUAGUCCAUGCCGUAAACGUUGGGCACUAGGUGUGGGGGACAUUCCACGUUUUCCGCGCCGUAGCUAACGCAUUAAGUGCCCCGCCUGGGGAGUACGGCCGCAAGGCUAAAACUCAAAGGAAUUGACGGGGGCCCGCACAAGCGGCGGAGCAUGCGGAUUAAUUCGAUGCAACGCGAAGAACCUUACCAAGGCUUGACAUUCACCGGACCGCCCCAGAGAUGGGGUUUCCCUUCGGGGCUGGUGGACAGGUGGUGCAUGGUUGUCGUCAGCUCGUGUCGUGAGAUGUUGGGUUAAGUCCCGCAACGAGCGCAACCCUCGUUCUAUGUUGCCAGCACGUGAUGGUGGGGACUCAUAGGAGACUGCCGGGGUCAACUCGGAGGAAGGUGGGGAUGACGUCAAAUCAUCAUGCCCCUUAUGUCUUGGGCUUCACGCAUGCUACAAUGGCCGGUACAAAGGGUUGCGAUACUGUGAGGUGGAGCUAAUCCCAAAAAGCCGGUCUCAGUUCGGAUUGAGGUCUGCAACUCGACCUCAUGAAGUCGGAGUCGCUAGUAAUCGCAGAUCAGCAACGCUGCGGUGAAUACGUUCCCGGGCCUUGUACACACCGCCCGUCAAGUCACGAAAGUUGGUAACACCCGAAGCCGGUGGCCUAACCCCUUGUGGGAGGGAGCCGUCGAAGGUGGGACUGGCGAUUGGG
rnacentral:rRNA from 1 species